UGAGAGGCAGGCGGGCCCUAGCUGCAGCGUCAAGAGCCAGUCUUGGUGCUCUGUGUUCACCUGGUUCAUCUGAGGAGCUGCAUCUACCCUGCCCAUGCCAUAGAUCCUGCCCUGUUUGCUUCUCCUGUUGCUGCUAGUGGACAUGAGGUAACCACAGCCUAGUUCUGUGAUAAGCUCUUCACACCUGUACCCAUAUGGACUGUGGGAGAGUUUCUCUGAUAUGGACUGUGAUGCGGGACAGAAUAACGGGCUCCCAGAUUCACAAGCCCCACCAAGAGGAUCACCCCAGGAACGCUUGGAGGCUGAGGAGUUCACUGAGGCUACUGCAUCUUGAGACUCAGGAUGAAGACCCAGCUUGGGGCUGUCAAAGAGGCCUGAAGAGGCAGAACACCCCAGAGGAGCCUGGGGCCACCACCCAGCAUCACUGUGGGAAAACGGCAGCAGGAAAUGUCCUCUCGCCUGCGUGCUCCACCUCGGUCCACGCCUUCCCUCCUUCUGGAAGCCUUGCCUGACCACUGGCCUGCCCCUUCUAUGGGAAUCACUACUGACCUUGCAGCUUAUUAUAGACUUAUAUGUAUGCAGAAAUAUAAUUUUAAUUACUUUUAUAUUGCUCCGAGAGUGAUACCAAAUCAUGAUAGAAAAUUUAAAUAAACAAAAUAGCCAAAUUAAUACCAGUAA
rnacentral:lncRNA from 1 species